UACCACAUUUCAUUGUCACAUGCA
rnacentral:siRNA from 1 species